rnacentral:rRNA from 1 species
AACGAACGCUGGCGGCGUGGAUAAGACAUGCAAGUCGAGCGCUGGCUGCCGGGUAGCAAUAUUCGGCAGUUGGAGCGGCGCAAGGGUGCGUAACACGUGGGCAAUCUGCCGUGAAGUUUGGGAUAAUCCCGCGAAAGCGGGACUAAUACCGGAUGUGAAAUUUGGGAGGCAUCUUUUGAAUUUCAAAGUUGGGGACCGCAAGGCCUGACGCUUCACGAUGAGCCCGCGGCCUAUCAGCUAGUUGGUGAGGUAACGGCUCACCAAGGCUAAGACGGGUAGCUGGUCUGAGAGGACGACCAGCCACACUGGAACUGAGACACGGUCCAGACACCUACGGGUGGCUG